rnacentral:rRNA from 1 species
UACGAGGGGGGCGAGCGUUGUUCGGAAUUAUUGGGCGUAAAGAGCUCGUAGGCGGUUUGUCGCGUCUGCUGUGAAAACCCGAGGCUCAACCUCGGGCCUGCAGUGGGUACGGGCAGACUAGAGUGCGGUAGGGGAGAAUGGAACUCCUGGUGUAGCGGUGGAAUGCGCAGAUAUCAGGAAGAACACCGAUGGCGAAGGCAGUUCUCUGGGCCGUAACUGACGCUGAGGAGCGAAAGCGUGGGGAGCGAACAGG